AGCAGCCGCGGUAAUUCCAGCUCCAAUAGCGUAUAUUAAAGUUGUUGCAGUUAAAAAGCUCGUAGUUGAAUUUCGGGAUCAAUAUUUCGGUCAUGCCGUUGGUAUGCACUGUUAUCAUUGAUUUCUCACCUUCUAAAGAACCGUAAUGCCAUUAAUUUGGUGUUACGGGGAAUUAGGACUGUUACCUUGAAAAAAUUAGAGUGUUUAAAGCAGGCUCACGCUUGAAUACAUUAGCAUGGAAUAAUGAAAUAGGACAUCCGAUUCUAUUUUGUUGGUUUCUAGGAUCGAUGUAAUGAUUAAUAGGGAUAGUUGGGGGCAUUAGUAUUCAAUUGUCAGAGGUGAAAUUCUUGGAUUUAU
rnacentral:rRNA from 1 species